rnacentral:rRNA from 1 species
UGAGGAAUAUUGGUCAAUGGGCGGAAGCCUGAACCAGCCAAGUCGCGUGAGGGAAGAAGGCCCUGCGGGUCGCAGACCUCUUUUGGACGGGGAGCAAGGCCGCGGACGUGUCCGCGGAAGGAGAGUACCCGUAGAACAAGCAUCGGCUAACUCCGUGCC